CAGCAGCCGCGGUAAUACGGAGGGUGCAAGCGUUAAUCGGAAUUACUGGGCGUAAAGCGCACGCAGGCGGUCUGACAAGUCAGAUGUGAAAUCCCCGGGCUUAACCUGGGAACUGCAUUUGAAACUGUCAGGCUGGAGUCUUGUAGAGGGGGGUAGAAUUCCAGGUGUAGCGGUGAAAUGCGUAGAGAUCUGGAGGAAUACCGGUGGCGAAGGCGGCCCCCUGGACAAAGACUGACGCUCAGGUGCGAAAGCGUGGGGAGCAAACAGGAUUAGAUACCCCUGUAGUUCCUGUCUCUUAUAC
rnacentral:rRNA from 1 species